CCUACGGGCGGCAGCAGUGGGGAAUAUUGCUCAAUGGGGGAAACCCUGAUGCAGCGACGCCGCGUGAAGGAUGAAGGAUUUCGGUAUGUAAACUCCUAUUAGUAGGGAAGAAAAUGACGGUACCUGACGAAGAAGCACCGGCUAACUACGUGCCAGCAGCCGCGGUAAUACGUAGGGGGCAAGCGUUAACCGGAUUUACUGGGCGUAAAGGGAGCGUAGGCGGGAUGGCAAGUCUGAUGUGAAAUCCUGGGGCUUAACCACAGGACUGCAUUGGAAACUGUCAGUCUAGAGUAUGGGAGAGGUAGGUGGAAUUCCUGGUGUAGCGGUGAAAUGCGUAGAGAUCAGGAGGAACACUCAUGGCGAAGGCGGCAUGCUGGACGAUAACUGACGUUGAUGCUCGAAAGCGUGGGGAGCAAACAGGAUUAGAUACCCUUGUAGUC
rnacentral:rRNA from 1 species